CGGAGGGAGCUAGCGUUGUUCGGAAUUACUGGGCGUAAAGCGCACGUAGGCGGCUUUGUAAGUUAGAGGUGAAAGCCCGGGGCUCAACUCCGGAACUGCCUUUAAGACUGCAUCGCUUGAAUCCAGGAGAGGUGAGUGGAAUUCCGAGUGUAGAGGUGAAAUUCGUAGAUAUUCGGAAGAACGCCAGUGGCGAAGGCGGCUCACUGGACUGGUAUUGACGCUGAGGUGCGAAAAGCGUGGGGGAGCAAACAGGAUU
rnacentral:rRNA from 1 species